AUUGAACGCUGGCGGCAUGCCUUACACAUGCAAGUCGAACAGCAGCGCGGACUUCGGUCUGGCGGCGAGUGGCGAACGGGUGAGUAAUACAUCGGAACGUACCCUGUUGUGGGGGAUAACUAGUCGAAAGAUUAGCUAAUACCGCAUACGACCUGAGGGUGAAAGUGGGGGACCGGAAACGGCCUCAUGCAGCAGGAGCGGCCGAUGUCUGAUUAGCUAGUUGGUGGGGUAAAGGCCCACCAAGGCGACGAUCAGUAGCUGGUCUGAGAGGACGAUCAGCCACACUGGGACUGAGACACGGCCCAGACUCCUACGGGAGGCAGCAGUGGGGAAUUUUGGACAAUGGGGGCAACCCUGAUCCAGCAAUGCCGCGUGUGUGAAGAAGGCCUUCGGGUUGUAAAGCACUUUUGUCCGGAAAGAAAUCGCGCUGGUUAAUACCUGGCGUGGAUGACGGUACCGGAAGAAUAAGCACCGGCUAACUACGUG
rnacentral:rRNA from 1 species